CCCUUAGAUGUUCUGGGCCGCACACGCGCUACACUGAAGGAGGCAGCGUGUACUCCUGGAUCGAAAGAUUUGGGUAACCCGCGAAUCUCCUUCGUGCUAGGGAUUGAGGUUUGCAAUUAUCCUUCAUGAACGAGGAAUUCCCAGUAAGUGCAAGUCAUAAGCUUGCGCUGGCUACGUCCCUGCCCUUUGUACACACCGCCCGUCGCUACUACCGAUUGAAUGAUUUAGUGAGGACUUCGGACUGGGACCGAUGCGGCUUUCGGGCUGCGUCGGUAUUCUGGAAAGAUGUCCAAACUGUAUCAUUUAGAGGAAGUAAAANUCGUANCA
rnacentral:rRNA from 1 species